rnacentral:lncRNA from 1 species
AUGUCGAGUAGCAGAGAUCUAGAAGGAGGACACGCCUUUCUUCUGCUAAUAUGGAUGGUCUCUUACAGCGAAAUGUUGGUGCAUAACUGUACUGACAGGCCUUUUCCACCAGGACUGAAGAUGAGGAGGAAGGAAAGGAGGAGACAGAGAGCCCAUCCUGCCCUGUACUUACUGAAAAAAAUACCCUCAAAGGCAACAGAGUCAGGGCUGUGUCUGAUCCAGCCACUCACAGGCGCCUGCACUCAGCUCCAUCUCCCCAGGAGAAGCAGGUGGGCUGCAGCGAGAGCUGGUGUGCUGGGGCCGCCUACACUCUUGGCCUGUCCGAGACAGGAUCUGGCCCAAGUGCGUCAGGGAGGGUAAAGGAAGUGAGAGCUGAAACAGCUUCCACUCUGGACAGGCCACUGAGGCCGACCCACGGCUCUUGAAGGUGACGGGACCUCCUGCUGGUGUUCGUGCAUGGAGAAUGAGGCCUUCACCCCAAAGACGGGAAGGGAGGGAGGAGCAAAGGAGAAUAUGGACAAAGAGGACUUCAAAGCCGCUCUGAAAAAUAGAAACUGAAGCCCCCACUCCACGCAGGCCCACUCUCCCCCUCAGAGGCCUCGCCAGCACUGAGGUCGACACCACCUGACUUCACACCCUUUUCCUCCACGCCCCAGCGUCAAGUCAAGCAGAGCCGGGCAGGAGGAGAGAAGUGAGUGCUGCUGGUUCACAGAGAGCCUCCAGAUUCCACGCUGCGGUGAUGAAUAAUGUACAAAUCCCAGAAAACAGAGCUCCGGGGAGUCUGGGCCUCUUAUCCCCUCGAUGUGAGAAAGGGGAGCAGGGCGCCUAGCCUGCUGGAUCUGCGGAGAUGCGAUGGGGCUUCCAGGGCUGGGCCAGUCUGUUAGCCAGCCAGGUGGCCUGCCAGGCUGCAUAGGCCUCCCUGAAACCAGGCCUCAGGCUGGCAAGGAUGUCCUGGACCCACAAUCUGGCCAUGAGGUGUCUGUCUCUGGCUAUCAUUAAUCCACUUCUCCCCUCCUGGCCCUCAAAAUCCCACUUUUGAAAAAAGAGAACAUUAAAAGAACAGUAAUGUCAUUUUCAUCUAAACGCAUUUUUAUCACCGUGCAAAAGAUUUUUUUAAAUUACCCCUGGAAACUCCCGCUAUCUAAUAAUUAUCAGAAAAAAAGGGGGGGGGGGGGAGCCCACAAGAGGGAGGGAAGCUCUGCUUUGUCAGGGAGAAGAAAAUAAAGAGAAAUCAGCCCAGCUUCA